rnacentral:tRNA from 1 species
GCUGCCGUGGCACAACCUGGUACUGCGCUGGAUUGCUAAUCCAGUUUCCUUCGGGAUUUCCCGGUUCAAAUCCGGGCGGCAGCG